rnacentral:tRNA from 1 species
GCUCGGGUAGCUCAAUUGGUAGAGCACGGCACUUGUAAUGCCGGGGCUAUGGGUUCAAGUCCCAUCCCGAGCU